UCAAUAUCUGCCCUAUCAACUUUCGAUGGUAGGAUAGCAGGCCUACCAUGGGGGUCAACGGGUAACGGGGAAUAAGGGUUCGAUUCCGGAGAGGGAGCCUGAGAAACGGCUACCACAUCCAAGGAAGGCAGCAGGCGCGCAAAUUACCCAAUCCCGACACGGGGAGGUAGUGACAAUAAAUAACAAUAUAGGGCCCUUUUGGGUCUUAUAAUUGGAAUGAGUACAAUUUAAAUCCCUUAACGAGGAACAAUUGGAGGGCAAGUCUGGUGCCAGCAGCCGCGGUAAUUCCAGCUCCAAUAGCGUAUAUUAAAGUUGUUGCAGUUAAAAAGCUCGUAGUUGAACUUCAGACCUGGCUGGAUGGUCUGCCUAACGGUCAUGUACUGUCCGGCUGGGCCUUACCUCUUGGUGAGCCGGCCAUGCCCUUCACUGGGUGUGUCGGGGAACCAGGACUUUUACCUUGAGAAAAUUAGAGUGUCCAAAGCAGGCCUAUGCCUGAAUACAUUAGCCAUGG
rnacentral:rRNA from 1 species